GACAGAGGCCUCGAGCGUUAGGCGGAAUCACUGGGCUUAAAGCGUGUGUAGGCGGAUCGUUAAGUGCCUUUGUGAAAUCCCACGGCUUAACUGUGGAACGGCUGGGCAUACUGGCGGUCUUGAGCCAUCUAGGGGCGACUGGAACAAACGGUGGAGCGGUGAAAUGCGUAGAUAUCGUUUUGGAACGCCAAUGGUGAAAACAGGUCGCUGGGGAUGAGCUGACGCUGAGACACGAAAGCCCAGGGGAGCAAACGGG
rnacentral:rRNA from 1 species